rnacentral:rRNA from 1 species
AGCAGCCGCGGUAAUUCCAGCUCCAAUAGCGUAUAUUAAAGUUGUUGCAGUUAAAAAGCUCGUAGUUGAAUUUCGGGAUUGACGUGACGGUCGUGCCUUACGGGGUAUGAACUGUCGCCGUUGAUUUCUCACCUUCUGGAGAAGCUCGAUGUCCUUAGUUGGGUGUCUUGCGGAACCAGGACCUUUACCUUGAAAAAAUUAGAGUGUUUAAAGCAGGCAUUUUGCUCGAAUACAUUAGCAUGGAAUAAUAGAAUAGGACGGCAUGGUUCUAUUUUGUUGGUUUCUAGGAUCACCGUAAUGAUUAAUAGGGAUAGUUGGGGGCAUUAGUAUUCAAUUGUCAGAGGUGAAAUUCUUGGAUUUAUUGAAGACUAACUACUGCGAAAGCAUUUGCCAAGGAUGUUUUCAUUAAUCAAGAACGAAAGUUAGGGGAUCGAAGACGAUCAGAUACCGUCGUAGUCUUAACCAUAAACUAUGCCGACUAGGAAUCAGACGAUGUUAAUUUUUUUAAUUGUACUCAUUC